GUUCAUCUUUUCCUUAGAGUUUUCAAAAAAUUUCAAGCUUCUUUGAAAUUAAAGAAUCAAUCUUCCUUCAUUAAAGUUGAUUAGAUGAAGGUCUCACAGCUAGCUUGUAGAGGCAGCAUGGUUGACUAUUAUAUUGCCCAAAUCAGGAGGCGUAUAGAGCUUGAAUGUGACAAAUGCUGGCUGAGACACUCAGGGUCACCACACGAGAAUCUCAUAGGCCAACACCAAGAAGGGUUAUUUGAUUGAUUUUGUUAUACUUAAAACUAACCUUGGUUGGGACUAGCUUUGUUUAACAAUCUUUGCUGUUGUUAUAUCUACAGGAGUUGAUGGAUGCAUGUGGACAAAACAUUGGUUCAACAUCAAAUGGAAUUCAUUUUGGUUUAUUUUGAUGAAGUAUUUUGUAUUUUACUUUAUCUUGGUGAAACAGUAUGUAUUUUGCUUAUGGAGUAUGUAUUUUACUUUAGUUUAAUGAGACAAUAUGUAUUUUUCUUAUGGGACAAUAUGUAUGUUGUUUAUGGGAUAUUUACUUUCAUGAAAACAAUGUGCAUUAUUCCUAUGGAGUUGGGGGUGUUUAAGCAAUU